CCAACUUGGCCAUGAACACUGCAGCAGUAAGUCUGCCUCCCUAUAGUGCCUCCUAAGUUGAAACCCCCUUCUGUCACUUACCUGAUUCCAGAGCCGAUGUCCCUCAGCGAUGGUUCAGGUUUAGCCUCUGCUUCAGAAACCUAAAUGCUUUCCUAUGAGGUUUUGGUGAUGGUGAAUGUCCUCAUGCAUAGAGUGGGGACAUCCAGCAUCAGUUAGGCGACCAAUCACUUAGAAUUGAAGAAAAGUCUCACUGUCGACAAUUCUUAUUGAAUAACCCAUCUGAUAAAG